AUUGAACGCUGGCGGCAGGCUUAACACAUGCAAGUCGAGCGGAGAUGAGGUGCUUGCACCUUAUCUUAGCGGCGGACGGGUGAGAAAUGCUUAGGAAUCUGCCUAUUAGUGGGGGACAACAUUCCGAAAGGAAUGCUAAUACCGCAUACGCCCUACGGGGGAAAGCAGGGGAUCUUCGGACCUUGCGCUAAUAGAUGAGCCUAAAGCGGAUUAGCUAGUUGGUGGGGUAAAGGCCUACCAAGGCGACGAUCUGUAGCGGGUCUGAGAGGAUGAUCCGCCACACUGGGACUGAGACACGGCCCAGACUCCUACGGGAGGCAGCAGUGGGGAAUAUUGGACAAUGGGCGGAAGCCUGAUCCAGCCAUGCCGCGUGUGUGAAGAAGGCCUUUUGGUUGUAAAGCACUUUAAGCGAGGAGGAGGCUACUUAGAUUAAUACUCUAGGAUAGUGGACGUUACUCGCAGAAUAAGCACCGGCUAACUCUGUGCCAGCCGCCGCAGUAAUAC
rnacentral:rRNA from 1 species